rnacentral:rRNA from 1 species
GAUGAACGCUGGCGGCGUGCCUAAUACAUGCCAGUCGAGCGAACAGACGAGGAGCUUGCUCCUCUGACGUUAGCGGCGGACGGGUGAGUAACACGUGGAUAACCUACCUAUAAGACUGGGAUAACUUCGGGAAACCGGAGCUAAUACCGGAUAAUAUAUUGAACCGCAUGGUUCAAUAGUGAAAGACGGUUUUGCUGUCACUUAUAGAUGGAUCCGCGCCGCAUUAGCUAGUUGGUAAGGUAACGGCUUACCAAGGCAACGAUGCGUAGCCGACCUGAGAGGGUGAUCGGCCACACUGGAACUGAGAGCCGGUCCAGACUCCUACGGGAGGCAGCAGUAGGGAAUCUUCCGCAAGGGGGGAAAGCCUGACGGAGCAACGCCGCGUGAGGGAUGAAGGUCUUCGGAUCGUAAAACUCUUUUAUUAGGGAAGAACAAAUGUGUAAGUAACUAUGCACGUCUUGACGGUACCUAAUCAGAACGCCACGGCUAACUACG